UACAGAGGGUGCAAGCGUUGUUCGGAAUUAUUGGGCGUAAAGCGCGUGUAGGCGGCGCGGAAAGUGGGGUGUGAAAGCCCUCGGCUCAACCGAGGAAUUGCGCUCCAAACUGCCGUGCUUGAGGGACCUAGGGGUGAGCGGAACUGAUGGUGGAGCGGUGAAAUGCGUUGAUAUCAUCAGGAACACCGGAGGCGAAGGCGGCUCACUGGGGGUCUUCUGACGCUGAGGAACGAAAGCCAGGGGAGCGAACGGG
rnacentral:rRNA from 1 species